rnacentral:tRNA from 1 species
GCCGCGAUAGCUCAGUUGGUAGAGCAUCUGCCCAGUAAGCGCAGCGUCGCCGAUUUGGUUCCGGCUCGCGGCG